rnacentral:rRNA from 1 species
GCAGCCACUCAUUCAAAGAGUGCGUAAUAGCUCACUGGUCGAGUGAUCCUGCGCCGAAGAUUUCCGGGGCUAAAACUUACUACCGAAGCUACGGCCUCAGUAAUGAUGGGUAGGGGAGCUUCCCAUACGGGUUGAAGCAUGACCGUAAGGACAUGUGGACAGUAUGGGAGUGAGAAUGUUGGCAUGAGUAGCGAGAUGUGGGUGAGAAUCCCACAGGCCGUAAACCCAAGGUUUCCAGGGGAAGGUUCGUCCGCCCUGGGUUAGUCGGGACCUAAGCUGAGGCCGAAAGGCGUAGGUGAUGGACAACAGGUUGAUAUUCCUGUACUACCGAUAACCGUUUGAGAGAAGGGAUGACACAGUAGGAUAAGCUAAGCACACUGUUGGUUAUGUGUGCCCAAGCAUUGAGGCAGUCAAAGUAGGCAAAUACGCUUUGAUAAUGCUGGGAUGUGAUGGGGAGCGAAAUUUAGUAGCGAAGUAGCUGAUUUCACACUGUCAAGAAAAGUCUCUAUCGAGGUUAAAGGUACCCGUACCGCAAACCGACACAGGGGGGUGAGGAGAGUAUCCUAAGGCCAGCGAGAGAACUGUUGUUAAGGAACUCGGCAAAAUGACCCCGUAACUUAGGGAUAAGGGGUGCCACCAUC